GACUGUUUUGGCCUUUCAGUUGAGCUUUGCCAGCCAAACGAUAAAGUCGAAUACGAAGCUGCGUUUGUUAGCGUGUUGAUUUCCUUCAAGUCGAAUCGAAUCUCUUAGUUCGUGUCCGCGGUACUGAAAACCGAAAAAAAAACAGCAGCACCAGCAGCAGCAGCCGCAUCAGCAGCAAAAGUAGCAGCAGCAGUAGCAAGUCGCAGCAGCAAAAAACAAAAAAAAAAAUUCAAAAAACACGUUUUACUCCCGCACAUUGAAAACGUAUAUUCCCCAUACUCUACCCGGAAAAGUCACAAAAAAUUAAGGAUUUAAAUCGCUUACCUUGUUUGUUUCAUAAUUUCCAUAAAUAUUUGUGUUUUUGUGUUUUUUGAAUGAAAGUGUGUAACCAGAGAAUAUGGAAAAAGUGUUUCGUUUUUGUGUCCAUAGUUUUCAUUACUAAUUGAAAAGUGAAGACAGGCAAUUAAAGGACAAUUUAGUGACGAAGGCGACGCAGACAAACCAAAAACACAUCAUUACAGAAGCUUUGAAUUGGCCCGACUUGGUGUAUUUAAACGUGUUUUUUUGGUGUGAUCGGCAAUCUUCGGCAGCAAUUAGACGACUAAACAAAAGGUAAGUUGAAAAAGCCACCGUGCCAACUCUGGAAGGGCAGCUGACCCCAUAAACCCGAAUCCAAAAAACUGGUAGAACCGUGGCACGCGUGAGUAAAAGCUUCAAAACGGCCAUCAAGAGCGGUUAAGAGAUAAAUCUGAAGACGGUGGCCUGGCCGGGUUGGGAUUCACUUUCUCUGCUUUUAAUUGCGACCAGCUUAAUUUUGAUGCGUGUGCAAUUUAAAUUCAGGAAAGAAGAAAUCCUCACCCUCAUCCUCACCUACUCUUCUGCCGCGUUGCUUUUUGGACGGAUUUUCAGACGUUUCGGCGACAGCAGUGCACGUACAAAAAGUUGGUAAGAACGCGAAGUGGCAAGAGGAGGCGACUGGCAGGCGGGGGCAGAACAUUUAAGCGGCUUAACCCACUUCCGUGCCACAUUAUCGUCAUCAGCCCGAGCAUCAUGAUUAUUGUUGUCGCUGCAGCCUGGACGGGACUUGCCUUUUUUUUAUUUCAUUAAUUUCUUUCAAUUACGCCGCACUUGUCACACGUAUACAGAGAGAGAAAAAGAUGUUGCGAAAUAGCUUUCCUAAUUUAUUAGCCCCUUCCGUAGCCAGCUUUCUUUUCAAAUCAUUAAAGAAUCUAAUAGCUAAUGACGCAAGCUGGCUGACAACGAAAGUUGCAUCACAACCACAGCUCCAGGGGCAAUCGAGGAAAGUUGGCCUUUCUAAAUGCCACAAAUGUUAUGUAGAAUAGAGACUGGCAACUUGCAACUUGCAACUUGCGACUGGCAACUGGAAUUGCCAAUGCAAUUGCAAUUGAUGAGCCACAAGUUUGGCAGGCCAGCUAGCCAGGUUGGGAGGCAGCGAGCACAAAACCAAUUUAAAAAGCCCAAAACAGGCACUCCAGACUGAUAAACCAGAGGCAGAAGAUGGUCGAAAGGAUCGGUGGCUCGGAGGCUAGGAAAACCGCAGCCGCUUUUGUAAUGGACAUGACUACAAAAUGCCAGGCACUAAAAACAAAUGAAGCCAAAACUGAAACUGAGGAAGAGUGCCUGUCUGGGCAUGGCUAAUUCAAUGGCCCUGGCUAUGGAUAUAGCCAUAUAACCCUCUCGUUCCGACCACGUUCCGACUUAGACGCUGACCGGGCGCACUUUCAGUUUUCAAAUGGCCAAUACAGCGGCAGCAGAUAACAAGAAAGUUGAUCUUCGUUAAGAACUAAGAUCGCAUUGGAAAUACUCUAUAAAAAAAGUUAAAUUUUUAUUUUUAAAGAUUGUUUUGGUAAAAGAAUUUGGCUAAGAAAUAUGUAAAGAUAUUUCAGAGGAUAUCAGAUAUCAAAACAAACAUUAUUCUGAUUGAAAAUAAAAGGUAAAGAAUCCACUCGGCCAUCUUUUUGUUCAGGAUUCUUUGUUUGGCCUGGAAGUCCGGGAAGCGAGCGUUUGUUUUUAGCGAGAAUCCCCCAGCCAUGGCUAGAAUCUCAAGGCAAACAAAAUUUGUUAUCAUAUUUCAAACGUAAACAUCAUUAGGCCCAUCUUGCCGGGCCGAAUGUGCGCCGUCAUAGUCCAAUCAGUUGGAAUGCCCAAACUGCAACCAAUUUCCCGGCCCUCUGCAGUUCCUUUCCCUUUUUUCUUUGGUUUGCUGACCAAACAUUAUGGCCAAGUCAUAAAUACCCUUUUUGGUAGUUACUGCAGGCUGGAUGGCUAGCUGGCUGGCUGGCAGGCAGGCCAACCUCAACCGAUUCGCUUUUAUGGCAAAGUCAAAUAGGAAAACAAAAUAGAAGUUAAUCUAAUAACAAAGAUUGAGCGCAAUAAUUUCAGCGAUUGGCAGCGCAGAUUUACCAUGGCCAAGAGCCAACUUCCAACAGCCAACAGCCAACGGCCAAGAGCUGAGAGUAAGAGCCACGA